AGAAGAUGCAAAACACCAUGGUGUCCUUGACAAUUUCAGUGCGUUCAUUUACGAGAAUCACCUUAACAAGCUGAAGAAACUUCUACGAAAACCUUCAUGUCCGUUAAGUCAAGUCGUGAGAAGGUUCUCAGAACUGCACACCUGUAACAAAAAAAGAGACAAAAACAAGGCACCAGUGCUCAGAAAACCGCAUGCUGCUGGCCCUCUACCGGAGUCAUUUGUUGGAGCUUCACAGUUCAAAGAACUACAAACAGAGUCAUACACUCUGAAAUUAAACCAGGCAAACCGUUUUGUCUACAUUAAUGGAAAGGUUUCAAAGCUAGAAAACAUAUUUUCAGAAAAUGAUGACAUUUACGUGACCUACACUACCUUCAGCAAACAUGAACUCUUUUUUGACUAUCCCCUUCCAUCCUCCGCACUUGGCAUCUACCAAGUUGAUGUCAUCUCAGGACCAGUCCAGCUCUGCAAAAUUGAGAACAUUGAGGCAAAAGCUUUCCUAUUUUAAAAAAACAAAAAUGUACCUCUUGGUGGAGCUCCUUCAUGAAGAAAGUACCGGAUCUGUAGCAAAGUUUUAGUACUCAGAGGGUCACUCAUGGUAGCCUCUAUACAAAAAGAUAGACUGGAUAUUGAAGAGUGUCCGGUUGAUGGAGGCACCACAACCAGAAAAAGGUUGGACCAAGCAUCAGGCCAGAAUUCCACAUGAGUUGGGUAAGCAGGAUGAGACACAUUCAUCUUUUGACAAGAUUUCCCAAAAAUGAAUACAAUCUUG
rnacentral:lncRNA from 1 species